AGUAUAUUGACGUAUUUAUCUACAUUCUAAAUGAACCAAAUAAUCAGGACACCCGAAGUGCUCUGGUGCAAAACAUGCUAUUAAGUUAUCCCAUCUUCAGAAUAUUGGAGAAACACUUAUCGAGAAAACUUGUUAUCUCGACAAAAGCUGCAACUUCAGUAAUACAAUGAAAACCCAAGUGCUAGAAAGAAGAGGCACCGUAGGAUAUGAUCAAGAAAACACAUUGAUUGAUCACUGAACCAAAGAUGUUUGACAACAAAAUUGGAAUUAAGGCAAGGGUCUGAGGAAUCACCGAUAAUUAUAUUACUUACAGAAGUAUCCAAUAAACUAGAACAAACAUAUUGCACCAGCAUAGGCUCACAUUUAUAUAAUAACAAUUACUGACCAGAAAGUCAGAGUAUGCUAUUGAAUUUUGUCAAAGGAAGGUUUUUCAGGUGAAGUUGUGACAACAUGGCCUAAAGCUUUGUAACCCUCAGGUGGAAUGGGCAGCCAAAUAUCGCCAUGAUUAGUACUAUUUUUAUUCUUGAAUUUUGAUGACUCACUAUUCCAAAUAAGUGUGUAAUCAAUUGGAUUCUUUAGGAUUUCACCAACAUUGUCUUUAACCCUACAAGUACCCAACCAAAAAGUGGUUGAUUGUUUGGUUGGCAAUAAACAAUUUCAAUUUUAAUAUGCCUCCCACUCUUUUUUUUUUUUUUUUUUGCUUUCAAGUAAUAUGGGGAUAGGCAACACUCCUUUGCUUGGGCCAUCAAGUUUUGUACCAUUCUUAUCCAUAGUUUCUCGGGAAUAUAUAAUUCUUAAGAGAUUAUCUGCUUAUGUCCUUGAAAAUUUAGAUUAUCUGCUUAUGUCCUUGAAGAUGUAAUUCGAUCUUAAGAGACUAUUUGCUUAUGUCCUUGAAACAUUUCUUCUUUCUAAUUUUCUUUUGUAUUGGAAACAGGUGCGACUUGAACCAAUUUUUUGUGUCUGAGAGUAGAAAAAUGGGAGUGUUUGCAGGGUGUCUGCUUUGCGACUUCACAGACACUCAUCAAAUUUUACUUUUCGGAAUUAGUAAAGAGAAAAUUACAUGUUGAUUGGUGUAAAUUCAGCUGACGUGGCUAACCAAGACAUAUUGGGAUGAUUCGGAAAGCAUUUCAAGAACCUUAACAAAACUCACUAAUAUGUUAAUCAUGAAAUGGGAAAUACUUUGCAGUGACCUCUUCUGCUUGGACAAGAGCGUGGUAUUCUGCGUUUGACCAGAAGAUGACGACAAUUACUAUUACUCAUGGUGCUUCCACUUCUUGCACAGUUGCAGCCAUUAAUAUGACCAUCAUCACAACAAUGGAGGAGGAUACACAAAGUUUAUGAACUUAGCUGGCCAUAUGGAGUGUGUGUUCGUUUGGUUGUUUUGUCUUUGGUAACGGGAGUGUCCCGCUUACAGGGGUUGAGAGUAUUGAUAAAAAUCAUAAAGAGAAGGAAAGAGAAAAGCCUGCCUUACUGGUUGAACUUGUCCUUAAUGAAGACUACACGGUGAAAACUGGGCAGAGGUGGUUUCAGAAGUAGAAUACAUAGAGUCUGAGAAUUUGAAUGAUGUAGAAGAUGUUGACACAAGCCUCAAGACGCUGUUGACUGGGCUAGAGUCAAAGGACUGGAUUUUAGUGUGUGAGACUCUCAAUGAUAGAUAGGAGCAUGUCUUGAAAAAUACUUGUGACCUGAUUGUGCCUUUUGAUCUUUGCACAGGUAUUGAUUUUUCUUCAACUAAAGCAAAAGCAGCAAGCAGAAGACAUUGUAAAUUAGGCUUGAUGGAAAAAAAUAUUUUGGCAUGCUGCUUCCAUUUAAA